ensembl:antisense Macrod2os2 MACRO domain containing 2, opposite strand 2
UUCAUCUAGAAUGCCUCAGAAAAGACAAGAGACUUCUGCUAAUUCCCUGGCUGCUGUUUGAGAUGCAGAGAAAUCUGCUAGCCUGGGAUUCCAGGUGCGUUCACCUGCAGGGGGCAGGAGGAAGAAGCAAGAUCAAGCAAGCACUGGGGAAGCCAAGAAUUUUAUAAUCACCGCUGGGGUGGUGACCUGGUCUUGCUGUCCCACAAGAAAAGUGGAGGGAGUUCCCUGGACAAAAUUAAAACCCUUUGUUGCCUGCUCUGUCAUACAGAACUCUGCAUUGCUUCAUAAGACAUGCCCACCAAGGAGCCACUGACAAGGAACCACAAACAACAGGGCUCCUUCCCAAAUUCACACAAUGGAGCAAUCAGCUGCCUACAGACAGCAGUGGUUCAAAGAGUUAACAGUGUUGAAGACUUAUAACAAAAUUCUGCCAUAAGGAAACAUUUUGUGCUUAAAUACAUGGAAGAAUACAGACCCCCAUGUCAUACAAAAGCUAACCUCAGGCUCCAUAAGGAGGGGUUCUGGAGAGAAUCAAAGAUACACAAUGGAGGGUGGGGUCAAGAUCUCACUAAAAAACAAAACCAGCUGGGCUAUGAUGGAAGAAAUAAACACACUGGGUAACACAUGAAAGGAUUAUGGCCCUCUUACAUCAGAGUCCUCCAUCACAGAAAUGUAUGCAGCCAUCAUCCCUUUCCUUUCCUUAGAGCACUGCCACCACUUACUUUUGAGAACCUUGGAUGUGAUAUGAAAUAAUCGAAUUUGGGAGACUCACCAAGAUACCCUCACCUUCCCCCAAUAUAUAUUUUCUUCCUUAGAAACAAAAAUCCCUAAAUCUUAGAUAGGAUUCCAGUAGUUUGUGAAAAGGAUGCUGUUCCAUUCAGUAUGGUCAUGUUCCUGCCUUCAGAAUGGAAAAAGAGAUGUUGAUGAAUACAGAGGGUUUGACCAUCUAAUUGUCCUCUUCUAUACCCUGAUGUUUUAUUACACACAGGCUCAAAGAAUCAAAGCAAACAACACAUGUCCCCCACCUCCUCAAUUGACAACCAGCAUUUUAGUAUUUUUGUUUUAUGCAAGUAUAUCAUCUGCCCGUUUGCCUAUUCAUUUGCCUACUUUUAAUCAGUUUCAAAGUUGCAUGCCUGAGAACAGUUCAGCCCUGAGAUGUUUCCAGGGACCACAAGAUGAAGAGAUCUUCUCUGAUUCACAAAUGAGUAAUAAGAGGGGGCAGAAUUCAGAGCAACUUAGGUUAUACAGAUAAUCACAUCUUCCCAACUCACCUUCACAAACUGAAUUUCUUGUCUUUUUGGACUCAUUCCUACUCACCCGCAGGGCCCAAAAGAGUUUGAACUUUAGGGUCCAACAAAACCUUCAACUUGAUCAGCAUCUAGCAUCCUUUGGCUGUGGUCAUUGGAAUAUUCUGACUGCUAGGUUGAGCUCCCGGGUAGCAAGAGAUCUGGAAUUCUGCUCUUUGGGAAGAAAAGCUAUACACUUCAUGAGACUACUUUCAAUUGCUUUUCUUCACUUUUUUCAUGCACUUCAGGAUAAGGAUUAGCAUCAGAGAAAACACUGCAUCUUACAUUUUUAUACUCAGAACUUCUCCAUGGAAAUAAACAAUUCUGCUAAAAAGCAUAUCCUGUUCCUCCUGAUGAAUUUGAAAGAACUUACGAAUUCUUAAAUACCACCCCCUCCCUCCUCAAAUAAGUGCGUAUACAUAAAACUUAUGUACCAUCUGUCUGCAGGCUGUCACACACCCCAGGGGCUUUGCCCAACCUCCCUCUGAUGGACAGCGAUUCUGAGACUGCUCCUUCGCAUUUCAUCAAGAGUGAUGACUCUCAGCCACCUUAAUGUCACGGCUUGGAGGCUCCUGAAGCAAUUGGUUUCGUAGUUUAUUUUGUGAACUGUGCUGUGGACACAAGACUUUGAAAAGUAAAGCUCGAGUUCCAAUCUAAAGAUCUGAAAAGAACAUUUUCAAUCUGUUGGUGCAGACUGUUCUCCAUCAGCCCAGCUGCCAGCAGUUACGCGUGGCACUGGGCAGCCUCACACAGUCGGGCACAGCCGCUCCUCUGGAUGCUGAGGCAAGCCGAGCGCAGAGAUUACCACAUUAUCAUCUCCCGACUGAAGCCAGAGUUCCAUUUAACAAGCUGACAAGAGCGCCAGGACCACAAAAUAACAAGCAGAAACACGGUGUGGUAUUUGUCAAAGAUAAAGGGCUGAGGUGCAGCUUAAGGCUUCUCAGAGGCUCGGGGAAGACAUUCAAAUCAUCUGCCCCAAAUGUUUUCAGUGCCUUGAACUUUCUCCCACAUUGCUCUUAUUUGGGGGUCCCCAUUUUGGUACUGGAUGCUUCCUUCAACUGGCGGCACUCCUUUGAAGAAACUAGAAAUGUCCUCAGAGUCUGUUGAUUUUCCUAACAUGUUUUAAGUUUCUGCACAUGCACUUUGCUUAAAAGGCCAUGCCUACUUUCAGGUCUACAUUAUUGUUAAGCUUUUCUGGAGCUAAUUUUACAAAUUUCUUAUGAACACAUAUAUUUAUAUGCUGGAGGUCCACGUAAUAGUAUACAGCCUCUCUCUCUCUCUCUUUUUUUUCUUCUUGACUUUAAAGAAAGCACAGAGAGAGCUUUGUUUUUAAAAUGUCAUAUGGGGUGGUUAGAAGUAGGGGAAAAUAUAGUGUUUAAGUCAUAAUCUAGCAUGUCUAUCUAUCAUAUUGCUUUUAUUGCAUGAAAUGAUUUUUUAAAAGAAUUUUAGAAUUCUUUUUUUUUUCUUCUGAGUGUUCAAACCUAACAAAUACAACAAAGAAUAUGGUAUAUAUCAGAACUAAUUUUUGAAUACAUCCAUAAGUUUAUUCAACAAAAAUUAAAGAGAAACUAUACACUUUAAAUUCAAAUAUUAUCUGGAUUUAGGCAAAUGCAAACCCUCUUAUUUUUCUUUUUAGGUAAAUUGCUAUGAAAUAAUACUGCAAAUCAUCUAUAUGAAAUCUCUCAAAACUGCAAUGUGAGGAUGGGUCUGCGGUUGCUUUUUCAUGGUCUGGGGAUCACAGUGCAUGCGGCAGGGUGUGCAAAGGCUCAUUGCGGGUACACACUUUAUUUCCCAUAUCCUCAGCUCUUUCAUACAGAUUUUUAUCCACCCCUCUCACAGUGAGAUCAUUUUCUUUGGCCACCACAGUGUGUAAUUCUAUCCAGUGGUUUGCAUUUUGAAAACAUUAGUCUAAAUAAGCUUAAAUGCAUGUUAGCACCACACACUAGAGAUUCUGGGGGAAACUCUCUGACACAGACUAUGUGGGCGGUGUGCCCUACGAUGGCUUAAUAGAAUCUUCAAGUCUAGGUCAGGAGUGAAAUACUCCAACCGAGAUCAGUAAUAACAACAAAUCCCCCACAUGUUUCCACUGAGUGGGGAGCUGGAAGCACAACAGCGUUUCUUAUUUUAGCUACAAAGGGAGACUGAUUUGGAGCUGAAGCAAAAAUAUGAAGAAAAAUUAUGAUUGAAGUAUUUUCAUUCAAAAACAUCUCGUACAUGAGAAAAGCCAUUAAUUGUUGAAAAUAUGAGACAUUGCCACUAAAUAAAAAUAAAUUAUUCAAUU